rnacentral:rRNA from 1 species
AUUGACCGCUGGCGGCAGGCCUAACACAUGCAAGUCGAACGAGUGGCGGACGGGUGAGUACUGUCUGGGACACUGCCUGAUGGAGGGGGAUCACUACUGGAAACGGUAGCUAAUCCCGCAUACCCUCCGCUUUGCCCAGAUGGGAUUAGCUAGUUGGUGGGGUAACGGCUCACCAAGGCGACGAUCCCUAGCUGGUCUGAGAGGAUGACCAGCACCACUGGAACUGAGAAACGGUCCAGACUCCUACGGGAGGAAGCAGUGGGGAAUAUUGCACAAUGGGCGCAAGCCUGAUGCAGCCAUGCCGCGUGUAUGAAGAAGGCCUUCGGGUUGUAAAGUACUUUCAGCGGGGAGGCGUUACCCGCAGAAGAAGCACCGGCUAACUCCGUGCCAGCAGCCGCGGUAAUAC